AUUGAACGCUAGCGGGAUGCCUUACCCAUGCAAGUCGAACGGAGUGGCGAACGGGGAGGAAAGGUAUCGGAACGUGCCCAGUAGCGGGGGAUAAUUACCCGAAAGCGUAGCUAAUACCCCAUACUAUUGGGGGGGCCGUUAUGGGAUUGGCUAGUUGGGGGGGUAACGUCCAACCAAGGCGACGACCCGUAGCUGGUUUGAGAGGACGACCAGCCACACUGGGACUGAGACACGGCCCAGACUCCUACGGGAGGCAGCAGUGGGGAAUUUUGGACAAUGGGGGAAACCCUGAUCCAGCCAUCCCGCGUGUGCGAUGAAGGCCUUCGGGUUGUAAAGCACUUUUGGCAGGAAAGCGGUACCUGCAGAAUAAGCACCGGCUAACUACGUGCCAGCAGCCGCGGUAAUAC
rnacentral:rRNA from 1 species